UUCUGAUCACAUAAGUUACAGUUUAGAUAUCCACACUUAUUUAACAAGAGGUGCCAGUAGGGGGCAGAUGAUUGCACCUUUACCAAAAUCCAAUAACCUGAAAAAAACUUUAAUUUACAGAGCAAGUUCUUUGUGGAAUAAUAUCCCAAGUAACAUUCGUUUUAUCACAGGAAAGGUACAUUUU